rnacentral:rRNA from 1 species
ACGGGUGAGUAAUGCCUAGGAAUCUGCCUGGUAGUGGGGGAUAACGCUCGGAAACGGACGCUAAUACCGCAUACGUCCUACGGGAGAAAGCAGGGGACCUUCGGGCCUUGCGCUAUCAGAUGAGCCUAGGUCGGAUUAGCUAGUUGGUGAGGUAAUGGCUCACCAAGGCGACGAUCCGUAACUGGUCUGAGAGGAUGAUCAUUCACACUGGAACUGAGACACGGUCCAGACUCCUACGGGAGGCAGCAGUGGGGAAUAUUGGACAAUGGGCGAAAGCCUGAUCCAGCCAUGCCGCGUGUGUGAAGAAGGUCUUCGGAUUGUAAAGCACUUUAAGUUGGGAGGAAGGGCAUUAACCUAAUACGUUGGUGUUUUGACGUUACCGACAGAAUAAGCACCGGCUAACUCUGUGCCAGCAGCCGCGGUAAUACAGAGGGUGCAAGCGUUAAUCGGAAUUACUGGGCGUAAAGCGCGCGUAGGUGGUUUGUUAAGUUGAAUGUGAAAUCCCCGGGCUCAACCUGGGAACUGCAUCCAAAACUGGCAAGCUAGAGUAGGGCAGAGGGUGGUGGAAUUUCCUGUGUAGCGGUG